CAGAAGAAUCUUCUCCACCUCUCAUUGUUUUGUUUCAUUCUUCUAAUCUAGUUCUUUAACCUACUGUUUUUCACUUUGCCGAUUUUUCAUUCCUAGGAAGCAACAAUGGCGGGUGGUUAGAUCAAGAAGGAAUAGGGAACUCACAACACACACCAUACCAAGGUGGAAUGUCCUUUCACAAAUCAAAGGUGGAAUGUCCUUUCACAAAUCCAAAGGGAAUUUAACUGAGAAGCUUUUGGAUGCUGGGAAGAAGGUUAUUGCUGUCGAGAUUAAUUCUCGUAUGGUUCCAAUGAAUCCCUUCCAGUCGCCUCAAGUUUUGUUCAGAGCAAUCACAAGUGACGAUGGAGGACUUUUCUUCUACGAAUAAAAGGAUGGAUUUGAGGGAUAAGAAAUUGAAAUCUUAUAGAUGUGUGAUUAUAAGGUUUGAUUCUAGCUAUGUGGACUAGCUAAUAAUUUGGAGUUAUGAUGUUUGUGAUUUUAAAAUUCAACUGUCAAUUAUUAUUUGGUUCACACAAUUUUCUUCUAUUGAAUCUUGGUCCUUUUAACCUUGGUUAAGGUUUAUUUUGUGCAGGGAGAAAAUAUUUUCUCUCAACUUUAAAUAAGGUAGAAAAUAGUGGUUAAAAUUAAGUGUUACUCUCUAUCUGUUGAACACCUUAAAAAUUGUUUAACUUUAAAAUUGACUUAUUUCUUUUUUAGUAGUGGGUGUCUAUUGUUGGAUCCUAGUUCUACUUCUUGCAACCGUUUACUAAUGACAAGAAGCCGAGCUCAUGUAAAAAAAUUACAAAGCAUCUUUAUAUAAAUAUUGCUCUCUGUACAUAACUCAGUUGCUAAAAUUGUAUUAUCUCACAUGGUAUUUUAUAGUUGCAACCAAACUAUAGAGAGAUUUGGAUCAUGUUUAAUUAAUGAUUUUGGUUG